UACAGAGGUCCCGAGCGUUGUCCGGAAUUAUUGGGCGUAAAGAGCUCGUAGGCGGUUUGUCACGUCUGCUGUGAAAACUGGAGGCUCAACCUCCAGCCUGCAGUGGGUACGGGCAGACUAGAGUGCGGUAGGGGAGAUUGGAAUUCCUGGUGUAGCGGUGGAAUGCGCAGAUAUCAGGAGGAACACCGAUGGCGAAGGCAGAUCUCUGGGCCGUAACUGACGCUGAGGAGCGAAAGCAUGGGGAGCGAACAGG
rnacentral:rRNA from 1 species